AAACGAGAGUGAACUCUGGUCAGCUACAGUGCAAGACUUUCAGUCAGCAAUAUGUGGAAACUGCUGGCCAUCGCUGUUGUUUGUGUGCAGCUGUGCUGUGCACAGUACCCGAGAUACCUUCGUUUCCCGGUUGGCAGAGGUGACGACACCAAAUGUCAUGACAACCAGGUUGACAAGAAGUACAAUAUCGGUGAUGUCUGGAGCUCCCCAUUCUCUGGCUGUAAACAGAGUCACUGCGUCAAGGACAACGGCGUACUCUACAUCGACAGAUUCCAGUGUCCGUCGGUGAGAAGGCAGGUGGACUUCAAGAAGCUGAAGGCCAACAAUCUGUUCUGCCGCGAGGCUCGGGGAGACAGGAGAAAGGAGUUUCCCGACUGCUGUGCCCGCCUUGUCUGUAAACAUUACGUAGGACGGGAAGCUUGUGCCGCUGCCGGCGCACAAAUAUCCCCUGCUCUAGUCAGGGAUGGGAUGGAACUACAUUUGCUCGAGUGCGAACCAAAGAUGUUUGAAUAUUCAUCCGUGUAUGUGAAGUUGGUGUAGCCGAAUGUCCCUAUUGUUGUGCUGGCUUUCAGUGGAAGUCUUGUGAUAUUGGUGUCAUGUCUAGUGAUAUGGUUUUGUGCGAGCAGUAGACUUCAUUAACUGCAUGGUUGCCA